CCUACGGGUGGCAGCAGUCGAGAAUUUUUCUCAAUGGGGGAAACCCUGAAGGAGCGACGCCGCGUGGAGGAUGAAGGCUUUCGGGUUGUAAACUCCUGUCAUUUGAGAACUAGUAUCAGAAGAGGAAGGGACGGCUAACUCUGUGCCAGCAGCCGCGGUAAUACAGAGGUCCCAAGCGUUGUUCGGAUUCAUUGGGCGUAAAGGGUGCGUAGGUGGCGUGGUAAGUCGGGUGUGAAAUUUCGGAGCUUAACUCCGAAACUGCAUUCGAUACUGCCGUGCUUGAGGACUGGAGAGGAGACUGGAAUUUACGGUGUAGCAGUGAAAUGCGUAGAGAUCGUAAGGAAGACCAGUGGCGAAGGCGGGUCUCUGGACAGUCCUGACACUGAGGCACGAAGGCCAGGGGAGCAAACGGGAUUAGAUACCCUUGUAGUC
rnacentral:rRNA from 1 species